UACGGAGGGGGCAAGCGUUGUUCGGAAUUAUUGGGCGUAAAGGGCGUGUAGGCGGCCAAACAAGCCGGAUGUGAAAUCCCUCGGCUCAACUGAGGAACUGCAUUCGAUACUGCUUGGCUAGAGUCCGGGAGGGGGUAGUGGAAUUCCCAGUGUAGCGGUGAAAUGCGUAGAUAUUGGGAAGAACACCAGUAGCGAAGGCGGCUACCUGGACCGGAACUGACGCUGAGGCGCGAAAGCCAGGGGAGCGAAUGGG
rnacentral:rRNA from 1 species